UACGGGGGGGGUAAGCGUUGUUCGGAAUUACUGGGCGUAAAGGGCUCGUAGGCGGCCAACUAAGUCAUACGUGAAAUCCCUCAGCUUAACUGGGGAACUGCGUGUGAUACUGGAUGGCUUGGAUUUGGGAGAGGGAUGCGGAAUUCCAGGUGUAGCGGUGAAAUGCGUAGAUAUCUGGAGGAACACCGGUGGCGAAGGCGGCAUCCUGGACCAACACUGACGCUGAGGCGCGAAAGCUAGGGGAGCGAACAGG
rnacentral:rRNA from 1 species